rnacentral:rRNA from 1 species
CCUACGGGAGGCAGCAGUGAGGAAUAUUGGUCAAUGGCCGCAGGGCUGAACCAGCCAAGUCGCGUGAGGGAUGACGGUCCUAUGGAUUGUAAACCUCUUUUGUCAGGGAGCAAAGGGCGCCACGUGUGGCGCUUUGCGAGUACCUGAAGAAAAAGCAUCGGCUAACUCCGUGCCAGCAGCCGCGGUAAUACGGAGGAUGCGAGCGUUAUCCGGAUUUAUUGGGUUUAAAGGGUGCGUAGGCGGACUGGAAAGUCAGCGGUAAAAUCGAGAGGCUCAACCUCUUUCCGCCGUUGAAACUGUCGGUCUUGAGUGGGCGAGAAGUAUGCGGAAUGCGUGGUGUAGCGGUGAAAUGCAUAGAUAUCACGCAGAACUCCGAUUGCGAAGGCAGCAUACCGGCGCCCGACUGACGCUGAGGCACGAAAGCGUGGGUAUCGAACAGGAUUAGAUACCCGAGUAGUC